rnacentral:rRNA from 1 species
GACGAACGCUGGCGGCGUGCUUAACACAUGCAAGUCGAACGGAAAGGCCCUGCUUUUGUGGGGUGCUCGAGUGGCGAACGGGUGAGUAACACGUGAGUAACCUGCCCUUGACUUUGGGAUAACUUCAGGAAACUGGGGCUAAUACCGGAUAGGAGCUCCUGCUGCAUGGUGGGGGUUGGAAAGUUUCGGCGGUGGGGGAUGGACUCGCGGCUUAUCAGCUUGUUGGUGGGGUAGUGGCUUACCAAGGCUUUGACGGGUAGCCGGCCUGAGAGGGUGACCGGCCACAUGGGGACUGAGAUACGGCCCAGACUCCUACGGGAGGCAGCAGUGGGGAAUAUUGCACAAUGGGCUGAAGCCUGAUGCAGCAACGCCGCGUGCGGGAUGACGGCCUUCGGGUUGUAAACCGCUUUGGCCUGUGACGAAGCGUGAGUGACGGUAAUGGGUAAAGAAGCACCGGCUAACUACGUG